CAUUGUUGUAACUUAAUGAAAUUGUGAUUAUAUUCUUUUGUUUUUUACGUAUUGUUUGUAUGUAAAAAAUAAUUUGUAAUCAACAAAAAACAAAAAAAACUAAAAUACUUGUAUUUGUUUUCAAUUUCUAUAAUAUUAUGUGUUAUUGUAAACUAAUUUAAUUUUAAUUAGAAAUCAGCCAGUAGUUGUGUUUAUUUAAGUUUAUAGUUACGUAACAGCUGCAAACUCAAUAAUCGGUCCCAGAGUAGCUUUUUUCCACAACUUACGUGCUAUGAUAUAAGUACAUUAUCAAGAAUAAUAAAAAAAUAAUAAUACUAUUACUAAACAUUUGAUUUCACGAAUGGUUAAAUUAAGAAUAUUUAGUAUGGAUCUAUUUACGACGUCUGUCUAUCCAUUUAUACUUGAAACAAUAUAAUACAAAUAUACAUAAGUGCAUGAUAUGACGUGUACCGACGAAGAUUUGGACGGAUGAAUAAAAAUAAUUAUGUUACCGAUAUGUCGAAUUAUCAUAUGCACAUGUCAUGUUCAGUCGUUUACAGAGGGUGUGUCAAUAUUAUAUUAAUAAUAUUAUUUACGGUUCAGUGUAAUGAAGCGGCUUAAAAGUUACGAGAAAUCUGUGCAACUUGCCAGAGAGGACCUCUGAAGAUUUAUUCAACGUACUAAUACGAAGAAAAAAGAUUCCAUAAUAAUCUUUAUAAUAGAGUAAAUAUUC